AGCGGCACAAGUGGCGAUUUGUUCACCGGAUUGCGGGCCACUCUAAACACUUCCGCUAAAGAGGUCAGGCAGAGGGAGCC
rnacentral:ncRNA from 2 species